UAUGCUUAUGGUUGAAAGACCGUGUAUGACACGUAACACAUUUAUAAUGUACAUUAGGAUGCUAAAAUUGAGUAAAAGGAAACCUGUUAGCACAGUACACUAGCAGCUCCUCAGAGGAUAACACGUAAAUAUGAUACCUCGACGUGUUUUGAACUUAUUAAUAACCAUGAUGAUAUUAUUAGCGGCUGCGAUCUUGGAAACGAACAAGUGCCCAGUUAAUCACAUUGCUGUUAAAGGGGCAGGAGGUACCGUGCGAUGCUUACCUAAAGAAUAAGUAUAUUUCUAACCGUAAGGCCUUGAUCUUAUGGAAUUAGCUUGAUUAAAAAGGGUUAAAAUGUAAACACCCAUUAUGCAUAUCCUGUAAUGUUAAUUUCGAAGUUUGUGUAUUUUUUUUUUUGUAAAUUUAAACAUAUCUAAACCUACGCAAGAAGAAUUUAUAUUGUAACUAACUGCGACCAUUAUGUUUCGUGUAUUCUUAAAUAUGAAUUAUGUUUAUAAUAAUUUGGAAAUAAAAUACUUUAUGCG